UAGGGAAUCUUCGGCAAUGGACGAAAGUCUGACCGAGCAACGCCGCGUGAGUGAAGAAGGUUUUCGGAUCGUAAAACUCUGUUGUUAGAGAAGAACAAGGACGUUAGUAACUGAACGUCCCCUGACGGUAUCUAACCAGAAAGCCACGGCUAACUACGUGCCAGCAGCCGCGGUAAUACGUAGGUGGCAAGCGUUGUCCGGAUUUAUUGGGCGUAAAGCGAGCGCAGGCGGUCUGUCAAGUCGGAUGUGAAAUCCCCGGGCUUAACCUGGGAACUGCAUUCGAAACUGGCAGGCUAGAGUCUUGUAGAGGGGGGUAGAAUUCCAGGUGUAGCGAUGAAAUGCGUAGAGAUCUGGAGGAAUACCGGUGGCGAAGGCGGCCCCCUGGACAAAGACUGACGCUCAGGUGCGAAAGCGUGGGGAGCAAACAGG
rnacentral:rRNA from 1 species